AAACACUGGAUCUCCUACUUCAGUUUUGUCUGCUCAUGGUUCAGACAUGCUGGGAUCAGCAUCUUUGCAUCAACAAAACAGAUGCUCUUCACCGACUUCAUGUACCACUGAUGUACCCUCUAUUGGUCUAGCUGUAAUUGAGAAGCAACCUGAAAUAUUCAAAGAAGAAGAUAAAGGUUGUCUCUCCUCAACUCAGAUGCCCAGUGGCUUGACCUUGGGAAAUUUACCUUCAAUGGUACAGUAAAAUCUCAGCUCAUAACUAGUUUACAUCAUUCUUAGAUGACCGCGGGAUUGUGACUUUGUUUUUUGUGAUCUUGAUCGUAACUCUUCCAGAAUUGUGAUUUAAGUUCAAGAAACACUUCUUCUCCUGAGGAAAUUGGAGGCACUGAAGCACCCUCCAUCAAGCUCUUUGGAAGGACAGUUUUGGUCACCGAAAUCCAAAAACCAGAUCAUCAAGAAGCGGGCAUUAAAAAAUCACCUGUGCAGAAGACUGGUGAAGACGAUUCAGUUACUGAGGAUGAGGGACUGGGUAAACCUCUAUCUUCAGUAGAAUUUGACAUGCAGUUGUCUCUUGGACUAGCUUGUGGUAACAAUGGAUUCUUGCACUCUGGUGCCCAUGCUGCCACUGCCAUGAAACUUCAGAAAGAGGAUGUUGAAUCUUCACGGUUUACUUCUGAUUGUUUCUUGCCAUGGUGGCCUUUGUACCAAGGUCCACCAUUCAUCUAUGUGACACCAUCUGACUCAACCUUGAUUCAAGGAC
rnacentral:lncRNA from 1 species